rnacentral:lncRNA from 1 species
AAACUAGUCCCUACACUUUAUAAUUAAUUCUUUUAACCCCAAAAUUAAUUCUAAUUAAUUUCUGGCUAACAAUUAAUUAAACAAAAUGAUUUCUUAUUAAUAUAUUAAUCUUUUAACAUAUUAAUAAAUUCAUUUAUAUUAAUUUAUUAAUCUUAUAAUAAAUUAAUAUCUCUCCUUUCAUAAUUUCCUUGUCCGGUUGCUAGGUUUGAGGGCAACCCAAAAGGACUGUGCUGCUAUCAAUUCAAGUACAUACCAAUUAUAGUUAUGGGCUUAGACACCUAAUCCAACAGUAUCCCACUUGGAUAAGUCUGUAACUAUAAUUGCUAGUAUGCCUUCUAAAUUUGACCAGCAAAUUGUAGCUUCCAAAAAGCUGCUGCCGAACUCUGACCCAGUCAGUUACGAGUCCUAAGAUAAGAGAUCACAUGACCCUUCGUUCUACUAGAUAUCUCUAGACAUAAGACAUGGAAUACAAUCAAUCUCUUUGUCCAGAAUCUAUGUUUCCCGAUUUCUGAUUUGUGAUGAUAUAGGACUUCUAAUCGAACACAUCAAUUAGUCCUGGCUGGGCCCAGCACAUAAGUCAACACCAAAUCAUCGAGGGGCCCACAGAUAUCGCUUUUCCGGUUAGGGCAAAAGGAACGAAUAAACAUUGACUCAUAUGCUUGUAUCUUUUACUCAUCAAACCAUACAUGACAAUACGUUUUAUAACACCAAGUUACUGAUGCGUUUUCGUAUCACCAAUGUAUAGCCGACUUGCAAAUUACAGCUCAGAUAUCUCUGAUCAUAGAUAUUAUCAUCUCAGUAUCACUCUUGAUGAAUUACAUGAAGUAAUACUCUGAGCGUGGGUUUAUCCAAUACUCAAAUCUCAAUUUCUGAGUACUCAUGAACGUUGCAGCAAAUCUAUUGCCAUGUCUAUUCUUAGACAAUCUACAAUCCAGUUCAUGACAGUCUUGAUUCACUACUUACUUCCAAAAGUACGAGCGACUGUGGAGUUUGAAUAAUCUUAUUAUUCGGGAAGUCAAAACAUGCAAAGUGAAACGCAAUAAUAAUAUUAAUCCUAUAUGGCCCCAAAGCUUUUGAGCGUAAAUAAAAACACUUUUAUUUAAACACCAUAUUGAUUACUCAUUAUUCAUUGCUUAUAGUUUCAGAAAAUCAACUUAUUACUUGAAUUAUAACCACAAUUGUCCCAUGCUCCAAGCAUGCACACUUUGGUUUCCUAUGGUCCAUACUUUGUGAAAUAAAUCAAUUGAAAAACCUUUCCAAUGAUGCUCAUUUCACAAUUCCCAAUCCCUAUUAUUAGUGUUAGAACACAAGGUUCUUGCAACUACUAGAAUAUGCUAGAUUCUAACAUUUUAUGCAACGAUCCUUUCGCAAAGUCAUAGCACAAAAGUCACCAAGACUUUGGCCAAUGAAAUUACAAAGUACUCUAUCGGAAAUUGUUACAAGAUAAUUCCAUAGACGUGAAGUCUCACAUUCAAAGUACAUUCCUUUGAACAUCCUUCUUGCAUAAAAGUUUCUAAUCUAGACACAGACUCUCAACAUCCAACUCCCAAUAUGGAGACAUUUCCAUAUUUGCCAUAUGACGACUUAUUCUUAACAGAAUCUUAUCUAUUCAUAAUAAUGUCGAUAUGGCCCAUUCAUUACUAUAUUUCCAACUACUCAUAAGCGACAAAUCCUCAAUGAACGUCAGAUUUUCCUUUGAUAGUUGUUUAAUUAUUUUAGUCAGAACCGAUUCUAAAUCCUUUUUCCCUCUUAAUACUCUAGGCAUUUGGAAAAUUUUAGAAUGGUCAAAUAUUAUGUGUCCUGUUCCCACAAUUCGAUCUAUGAAGAGAGAUGUCGUGAUCAUAAUCAAAUUUGAGAAUGCACUAUAUCUCCUUGACUAAAUUUAUUGACAUUUCUCGAUCUAAGCUUUAGAAUUUUGAAAUAAAGUAUAAUAUUCUCUCCCUUAAUUAUAGCAAAACAACUUUUCAACCAUUGCAACUUUGCAAAGUGAAUCUUUGUUUUCUAUAAUUAAUAUUGCUAACUCGCAAUACUUUACCAUAAUGAUCAUGCUCCCACUAACAUGAUGAUUAUUUUCUUACCAGCAUAACACUUAUGCUCCCACUAGCUUUGACAUGUAUUCAGAAAACAAUUAAACUUCCAGAGAACAAUGCUUAUUGAAUUCCUUAAGUUCAUAUUUCUAAUACCUAAUGCUUUGAUAAGCCUUUAUCAAAGCUUCUUAAAAUCAUACACCUUUGCCUUAGAAAGCUCAUAUGUGUGUCUAGACAAAUUCAGAACUUAUGUCACUAAGUCCCAAAUGUUCAGACUAAUUGCCAAAUCUCACAAUUCGAACUAUGGAAAGGGAUGCCGUAACCAUAAUCGAAUUUGAGAAUACAAUUUCCACAAUUGCUAUCUUCUUAAAAUCUCUCUUAGUGAAAGCAUUUCCUCACAGUCAUUUUCAUGAAGCAGGUAAUCUUAUGACACUUAGAUUUUGUGGUGUAUAAGUUCCUAUCCAUGUGAAUUUGUCAAAACCAAAGUUUGUGACAAAUCCAAACUCAUAUGGACUGAACUUUCUCAAUCUCGAUUUCUUGCCUCAUGGUAACACGAGUGCCCACCAUGUCUUCCAAGUGGUUUAUCAACUCAUCCUUACUUAUCAAUGUACUUUCCAUUGAUCAAGGUGCUAUGUCUUUAUGCAUUCACAUGAGAACUCAUAGAACUCACUUGCAUAAUUAAUUCAAUUGGAAUGGCAUAGAAAAGGAGUAUGUCAUCCACGAUAGGCUAUAAACCUCAAGUCGUGUGCUAGUGAUGAUCGAUAAGGUUUAUUCUUGAUUAGUUCUUGAAACCUUUUUCAAGAUCAU